rnacentral:rRNA from 1 species
GAUGAACGCUGGCGGCGUGCCUAAUACAUGCAAGUCGAACGCGAGCAGCAAUGCUCGAGUGGCGAACGGGUGAGUAAUACAUAAGUAACCUGCCCUAGACAGGGGGAUAACUGCUGGAAACGGCAGCUAAGACCGCAUAGGUAUGGACACUGCAUGGUGACCAUAUUAAAAGUGCCAAGGCACUGGUAGAGGAUGGACUUAUGGCGCAUUAGCUGGUUGGUGAGGUAACGGCCCACCAAGGCGACGAUCGGUAGCCGGACUGAGAGGUUGAACGGCCACAUUGGGACUGAGACACGGCCCAG